AGGAAAAUAGCCCUGCACGGAGAACUUGAGGAAACUGAUCAUUUGGAGCAUUCUCAAAACAUCAGUAUUCAAAUGAUCGAUACUUUCAAAGAAGUAAGGAGAGGAAAGUUUUGAAGACGCGUAGCCUGGCGCAAGGUGAGCCAGGCGCUGCCCCUUCCCCAGUUCUGGCAGACGCGGCCUUCAGACGAAGAAAGCUCUGAGACAUGCGACGGGACAGCUGGCACAGCAGCCAAGCGAGAGAGGAAGGCCUUUGGGGACGGACCUGCCUGAGGGGCUAAGUACCCCUGCGGAUGGUACUUCCUUGUCAUUCACACGAUGGGAAGAAAAGCCCAAGGUCAGCAGAACUGCAUCUUGGCAGAGGACAGACUCCCCCAGAAGCGCAGUGGAGGCAGCCCAGGAGGAAGCUGGGAGCCGCCCAGGGCUUGCUCCUGACUUGAAGAAUGGCCACGGGUGCCAGCAGAAUACACUCAGGGAAAAGGUUCUGAGGUCUGUCCACGCUGUCCCAAAAGAGAGGGGAAGGGACAUGGAAAAAUAUCAAUCAGUUGCCUCCUGUGUGUGCUCCGACCAGACUGAACCUGAAAUCCAGGCGUGUGCCCUGACCGAGAGUCAAACUGGCAGCCUUUCACUUGGCAGGAUGACAUUCAACCAGGGGAACCCUCAGAGCUCCCCACACCCCGUCUGCCACGUGAGGACACAGUGAGGACGCUCUGGCUAUGAACCCGGAGGAGAACCCUCACCUGACCACAUCAGCACCCUGAUCUUGGACCUCCAGCUUCCAGAACC